GGAGGAGGCUCGCUUGGAGAGCAGGGACAGGAGCAGGCAGAGGGUGCGGCUGGCAAGGAGUCGGGGGAGAGGAAGGGGGAAAAGACGCAGGUCUCAGCUAAACAGGGCACGAGAGGAUGUAAGGCAACAAUAGACGACAGACCUGAGAGAAAGACAGACAGACGAGUGGACAAAGCACAGGCGUGAGAUGACAGACUGCUGGGGUUGGGGGUAUAUGUACAGGAAGACAAAGAUGGUUCCUCUGUGUGUGACUAGAAGGAUAGCGAUUAAAAAGAGAAGAGUAAAAGGAAAGAAAACUCGGAGUAAGUGAGGAGACAAAAUAAGGAAGAAGCACACAGGUACUAGUUAAAUGCUUCGAAAAUCACCAGGCUGUUAGGCUGAGCUGGAAGAAGCCCCACAGCCAUACCCAGGAGGGGACCAUCAGUUAGACAGAGGCAGGCAAUUUAAGUAGCUAGCUACUGAGGUAAAAAUGAAAAAAAAGAAAAAAAAAAUAGAAGAUGGAAAAGGUGAGAAGCAAGAGAAGGAAAACCCAAAGGAGACACUGGCCCAGAAACCUUUUUAACUUUCUGAAGAAUCUUCAAGGCCCCAAACUAGGCCAAGAUUCUGACUGACAUUUCUGAGCUCACCAGCUGCUGUUUCCUUGAGAGAAUUCUGACAGGAAGGCAUAGAAAUGCAAGCCAACACUGCCAGCUCUCAAAAAAAAUAAUAAUAACAACCCAUGCUCUAAACACCUCAAUGGGACUGAAGCCUGCCAGGGAAGAAGGCACACAGAGGAGGAGGGACCCGCCUGCAACUUUUCCCCAGGCUGGCACAACCAAUGCUUGGAGGUACCAAGGGAUCCUCACACUGGAGGCUACGGUCACCUCCCAAGGGAGCUGCCCCCUGCUCUGGCUGGUCAAACGGAACCAAGUCCGUCUUCCUGAGAGGUUUGGUCCCCUUCAACCAGCUACAGCAGGGCUGGCAAUGUCCAGUCCUUGGAGAGACAGAAGAGGUUCACCUGAAGCUGAAGUUAUUUACUAAUGCUUUCCUUAGGGAAAUGACUCUGAUUUUGUCACACACUCUCAUGCUCCCAGGAAGGGAGAAGGGAGGAGCCCUGGGUUCCAAAGUGAGCAAGAUUUUCAUGCUCAACACAGAGAGCUCUGUGCCCUUAUACCCACAACCAGACCCACUCUUGUGCUCUUGACACACACAGUCAGUAAAGAUUUGGAGGAGGGAAUUCGUGCCAACCAAAGGAAGAGUGUGGGACCUAGAAGACAGGGCUCCUGCUUACAUGGGGCUAGCAGUCUAAGUAAAGAAAUUAGACAUACAAAUACGUCACAAUUCAAUGGAAUCGCAAGUCCAAGCUCAGCUAGUUCCAAGACACAAUUCUUCUCACGUAGCCCACCAAAUAUGCCUGGCACAUGGCACGCUGUCAAACCUCCACGCAUCCAUUCAUUCCAAGAUACCUAUUCAUGAAGCAAUAUACACAUGACUCCGUUUCCUGAUCUAUAGAAUGGGGAUAAGAAUCAAACCACCUACAACAUAUGGCUUUGUGUGGAAUGCAAUGAGAAUA